rnacentral:rRNA from 1 species
GACGAACGCUGGCGGCGUGCUUAACACAUGCAAGUCGAACGGAAAGGCCCUGCUUUUGUGGGGUGCUCGAGUGGCGAGCGGGUGAGUAACACGUGAGUAACCUGCCCUUGACUUUGGGAUAACUUCAGGAAACUGGGGCUAAUACCGGAUAGGAGCUCCUGCUGCAUGGUGGGGGUUGGAAAGUUUCGGCGGUUGGGGAUGGACUCGCGGCUUAUCAGCUUGUUGGUGGGGUAGUGGCUUACCAAGGCUUUGACGGGUAGCCGGCCUGAGAGGGUGACCGGCCACAUUGGGACUGAGAUACGGCCCAGACUCCUACGGGAGGCAGCAGUGGGGAAUAUUGCACAAUGGGCGGAAGCCUGAUGCAGCAACGCCGCGUGCGGGACGACGGCCUUCGGGUUGUAAACCGCUUUCGCCUGUGACGAAGCGUGAGUGACGGUAAUGGGUAAAGAAGCACCGGCUAACUACGUG